UCUGAUUGAAGAAUUUGAAGGUGGAUUGGACAAGUAGCACAAGUGCCGGUUCUUGAUUUAUCACUCUGGUUCUAUGUAGAGGAACAAUCUAUUAAAAUGGUUCUGUUCUACGUAAUUGCAACUUUGUAUUUCCUUACCUUGGAGGCCUGCCUUGUAAGUCAAGUAUCUGCCAAGUAGUGAUUGUGAAGGUAACGCUGAGUAUGUGGACAUAGCAG
rnacentral:misc_RNA from 1 species